GGCAGCAUAAAGAUGACAUCAUCACAUAUGUAAGUAAACGUGUGAUAAAAACGCAGAUCAUUUUGCCCCAAUAAUAUCCUUACAGCCAGAGAAGGUUGUAGCCUUCUGCUACUGUAAUAUCCUUACAGCCAGAGAAGGUUGUAGCCUUCUGCUACUGUAAUAUCCUUACAGCCAGAGUAGGUUGUAGCCUUCUGCUACUGUAAUAUCCUUACAGCCAGAGAAGGUUGUAGCCUUCUACUACUGUAAUAUCCUUACAGCCAGAGAAGGUUGUAGCCUUCUGCUACUGUAAUAUCCUUACAGCCAGAGAAGGUUGUAGCCUUCUGCUACUGUAAUAUCCUUACAGCCAGAGAAGGUUGUAGCCUUCUACUACUGUAAUAUCCUUACAGCCAGAGAAGGUUGUAGCCUUCUGCUACUGUAAUAUCCUUACAGACAGAGAAGGUUGUAGCCUUCUGCUACUGUAAUAUCCUUACAGCCAGAGAAGGUUGUAGCCUUCUGCUACUGUAAUAUCCUUACAGCCAGAGAAGGUUGUAGCCUUCUGCUACUGUAAUAUCCUUACAGCCAGAGAAGGUUGUAGCCUUCUGCUACUGUAAUAUCCUUACAGCCAGAGAAGGUUGUAGCCUUCUGCUACUGUAAUAUCCUUACAGCCAGAGAAGGUUGUAGCCUUCUGCUACUGUAAUAUCCUUACAGCCAGAGAAGGUUGUAGCCUUCUGCUACUGUAAUAUCCUUACAGACAGAGAAGGUUGUAGCCUUCUGCUACUGUAAUAUCCUUACAGCCAGAGAAGGUUGUAGCCUUCUGCUACUGUAAUAUCCUUACAGACAGAGAAGGUUGUAGCCUUCUGCUACUGUAAUAUCCUUACAGCCAGAGAAGGUUGUAGCCUUCUGCUACUGUAAUAUCCUUACAGCCAGAGAAGGUUGUAGCCUUCUGCUACUGUAAUAUCCUUACAGCCAGAGAAGGUUGUAGCCUUCUGCUACUGUAAUAUCCUUACAGACAGAGAAGGUUGUAGCCUUCUGCUACUGUAAUAUCCUUACAGACAGAGUAGGUUGUAGCCUUCUGCUACUGUAAUAUCCUUACAGCCAGAGAAGGUUGUAGCCUUCUGCUACUGUAAUAUCCUUACAGACAGAGAAGGUUGUAGCCUUCUGCUACUGUAAUAUCCUUACAGACAGAGAAGGUUGUAGCCUUCUGCUACUGUAAUAUCCUUACAGACAGAGAAGGUUGUAGCCUUCUGCUACUGUAAUAUCCUUACAGACAGAGAAGGUUGUAGCCUUCUGCUACUGUAAUAUCCUUACAGACAGAGAAGGUUGUAGCCUUCUGCUACUGUAAUAUCCUUACAGCCAGAGAAGGUUGUAGCCUUCUGCUACUGUAAUAUCCUUACAGACAGAGAAGGUUGUAGCCUUCUGCUACUGUAAUAUCCUUACAGCCAGAGAAGGUUGUAGCCUUCUGCUAGUGUAAUAUCCUUACAGCCAGAGUAGGUUGUAGCCUUCUGCUACUGUAAUAUCCUUACAGACAGAGAAGGUUGUAGCCUUCUACUACUGUAAUAUCCUUACAGCCAGAGAAGGUUGUAGCCUUCUGCUACUGUAAUAUCCUUACAGCCAGAGAAGGUUGUAGCCUUCUGCUACUGUAAUAUCCUUACAGCCAGAGAAGGUUGUAGCCUUCUGCUACUGUAAUAUCCUUACAGCCAGAGAAGGUUGUAGCCUUCUGCUACUGUAAUAUCCUUACAGACAGAGAAGGUUGUAGCCUUCUGCUACUGCAAUAUCCUUACAGACAGAGAAGGUUGUAGCCUUCUGCUACUGUAAUAUCCUUACAGACAGAGAAGGUUGUAGCCUUCUGCUACUGUAAUAUCCUUACAGACAGAGAAGGUUGUAGCCUUCUGCUACUGUAAUAUCCUUAGUUACAACAGUCAGAGAAGGUUGUAGCCUUCUGCUACUGAAAUAUCCUUAGUUACAACAGCCAGAGAAGGUUGUAGCCUUCUGCUACUGUAAUAUCCUUAGUUACAACAGCCAGAGAAGGUUGUAGCCUUCUGCUACUGUAAUAUCCUUAGUUACAACAGCCAGAGAAGGUUGUAGCCUUCUGCUACUGUAAUAUCCUUAGUUACAACAGUCAGAGAAGGUUGUAGCCUUCUGCUACUGUAAUAUCCUUAGUUACAACAGCCAGAGAAGGUUGUAGCCUUCUGCUACUGUAAUAUCCUUAGUUACAACAGCCAGAGAAGGUUGUAGCCUUCUGCUACUGUAAUCUAUAUUGGCUGUUUAACUGAUGACAGUCUAUAUUGGCUGUCUUACUGAUGACAGUCUAUAUUGGCUGUUUAACUGAUGACAGUCUAUAUUGGCUGUCUUACUGAUGACAGUCUAUA